AAGAGACAGCAGCAGCCGCGGUAAAACGGAGGGUGCAAGCGUUAAUCGGAAUUACUGGGCGUAAAGCGCACGCAGGCGGUUUGUUAAGUCAGAUGUGAAAUCCCCGAGCUUAACUUGGGAACUGCAUUUGAAACUGGCAAGCUAGAGUCUUGUAGAGGGGGGUAGAAUUCCAGGUGUAGCGGUGAAAUGCGUAGAGAUCUGGAGGAAUACCGGUGGCGAAGGCGGCCCCCUGGACAAAGACUGACGCUCAGGUGCGAAAGCGUGGGGAGCAAACAGGAUUAGAUACCCCAGUAGUCCCUGUCUCUUAUAC
rnacentral:rRNA from 1 species